GUCCUUGGUGGAGUUGGUUGCAAUGGUGUUAUUGCUGCUCGAAUUAUUCAUUUCCAAUUUCUGCCUGUCUUUCUCCAAAUCGGCCUCCAAAUCGAUGAUCAGAUUUCCCACUCCAAUUUCCCAGUCAUCGCCACUGUCGCUGGAAAAAACUCUGCAACCUUCUUGAGGCCACGAGAACGCGGAGACCACUCACGAGCAUGAGGAAGAGUUAUGAAGACCUCCUACGACCUUGUGGUGACCAUGCGGCAAGUAUGAGUCAAGGGCAAACUCGGCAGAGGUCGCCAAUUAAGUCGUCUGGACUAAUUGGAAUGACUCUCGGAAAACUGCACCACAGCAGUGAGCAGCAAUGAUUUUUAGGAACGUUCAGCUGCAUGAAGGCCAACUCUGAAUCUUUGCACAGAGCUCCUGCAAGGCAAACAUCACCUCUGGCAGUGUACGAGCCGUUAAAAAAUAAUGAACAGAAAAUCACAGGAUGCUGGACUUUUACCCCCUGAAAAUGUACUCACAUUCAUUAUCCCAUGUCAGGAACUCCUAAAGAGAAAGUUCAUCUAUCCAUGUGUGUAGGGUCCUGCGUGAGGUAACCACUGAUGAGGUGUUUGUGCAACCAAAACCAGAGUCUUCCAACCUCUGAAAACGUUGUGCUGCAGAAUAAAUUUAGGGUGUUCAUUGCUCGUUAGCUCUUCAAUUGUGGUGAUUCGUGAAUGAGGAGUGUUGUUGGUUGAUUGCGAUGGAAGCCUUACUCGUAAGGGCAGAUUUCCAACAUCUACAUAUGUAGUUCAGGAUCAAGGUUCUCAUAUUGUCAUUCUGAUUGGUUUAUAUUCCCGUCGUGUAAGCACACAGUGUAAAUAUCCAUAUUCGUACUGCAGUGCACUGCUGAGGAAAUAAUGCAUUGGCCAAUGUGAUAUCUCUCGGUGAAACAUUACACCAAGCUCCUCUCUGCUCCCUCAGAUGUGUGUAAAACAGUCACAGAGCACUCGUCUGAGGAAGACCGAAGGUUUUUAUCCUGGCCAAUAUUUAUCAUUCAGACUCAUUAUAUGAAGCAACGGAUUAUCUGCCAAUUAUUUAUUGCUGAUUAUGGGAGCUCAUAGUGAAGAAUAUCAGCUGCUAUGUUUCUUAUAUUACAGCACUAAUUAAGCAUCAGUGGGACUUAAUUUGCUCAAAAUUGUUUUAUGAUUUCCUGAGAUUUUGAUAGGUGCUCUAUGAAUUCCAUCCAUUUAAAUUUGUAGAAAUCGAUUUGCUUUGACAAGGUUUUCAGGGGAAGGUUACCUGUUUAUUUAAUUGUAUAGACGUUAGUGGGGGCUGUGCAGAGAUUUAUUCUGGGGACUCUGCAGCAGCCUGAGGCUCGCCUGGAUUGGGCGCUGCUCCAGGAGACCGAGUACGUGGCCUGGAACUUUGAAAAAUGGCAAAAAUCUGGUGACUCUUGUUUGUGGUCUCAGUAGACUAUUUGCACUUUGUACUGGUUGGGGAUUGUGCUUAGGUACAGUAAUAACUUACUGAACUGUAUGCAAUAAAAUAAUUUCACUGUAUGUUUCUAUGUGUAAUGAUUAAAGAAAUAUUGAGCAUUUCUUGCCAAGUCUGGUUGACAUAUUUUAAGACAAAAUGAGUAGGAAGGAACUGCAGAUGGUGAUUUACACCAAAGAUAGACACAAAAUGCUGGAGUAACUCAGUAGGACAGGCAGCAUCUUUGGGGAGAAGGAAUGGUUGAUGUUUUGGGUUGAUACCCUUCUUCAGUCUAAGAGAACUGUUUUCACCAUGUCAUUCAAUCAACUAGCCCCCAACCCAUAUCUCUUAUUUUUAUGAUGAUUUAAACGUGUUAAUGGAAAGGAGAAAACAAUUUUAAUAGUGGCUCCUUGGUUUUCCCAUCCAUUUGAUUAUACUAGUGUUAGUAUUGGCUAAAUUAAAGACACCAUAAAAUGGAGGAUCCCAGAAUUCCUUAACCCUUAUCAGCUGAGCUUUACAGGCUUUGAUUGGCGCCAGUCAGAUUAGGCUCAGACUGGUAUGCAAAAGCAUUGUAAAUAGUAUAAAUAAUGUUACAAGGUGGUCAUCCUGUUAAUUGAUGAUUGGUUGAACUGUUGAGCCUUGGAGAAACUGUUUGAAUCUCAGGGCACAUGUUUCAAUGUUUGUUCUUGUUUGCUUCCUUCUAGAGGUUUCUUUCUUAUACAAUGUAUUAGCCACUGUAUUAUUGGGUUAGGGAAAUGUCUGUCAUGUAUGGGGUUAAUCGAUGUUUGUAAUUGGAUUGUAAAGAGACCACCCCCAUGUGGUUCAGCCCCUCGGGGUCCGGGGACCUAUAAAUGUCCGCUGCCACGAGGUCCUGCGUCGAUCGUCUGGGAGAGCUCUUAGGACUGCGUGACCUUCUGUUUGAGCGAGGCCUAGAGGGCUUGGUCAGGCAGAUAUGAGGAUCAAACCCACGGUGGUUAGGUACAGUAGUGGGAACUGUAAUUGUGUUUUGUCAAAAUAAAGUUUAGAUGCUCAAAUGCUUGACUCAGUGAUUUUUGACUGAAACUAGACUGGGGGGAAGCUUAGAACGAUCAAUUUACAUUGGGGGCUCAUCCGGGAUCUCAACAGACCCCCAAAUACAAGUUUAUGAUCAAGGGUGUUGAGCUGUUUCGAUCGCGAGUGCAGAAAUCUGGCCCACUGUGUGGUUUUCGCAUUGGUUUUCGGCACUUCGUUAGUCGGAGCGGAUCGAUCAUUGAGAAAGGGUCCAAUCGAGAAACAUUCUAGCAAGCACGGGGGGGUUAGCACUCCUUUGGGUUAGGGGCCCGUAAAACAGGGCGAGGAGUAGCCCAAAACGUGGUUGUAGUUGGCAGACUGCAGCUGCUUUAACGAGAGCCUGACUCAUAUCAUUGGGCGAGGGGUGGCCCAAGAUUCAGAUUUGGUAUCCAAUUGGUGGGGUAUUGAAACAUAGGUCUGACCUAUGUAUUGACCUAUAUUUGCCGGUAGCGCUGAUUGGAAAAGCGCAUUCUGAAAAUCGGCAUCGACGACUGCCAGCACGAAGAGGCUAGGCACUGAACCCUCAGUGCCCAGCAGAGAGGGUUAUCUGCGUGAAGGAGUCUGAAUCCCUCCCUGAAGUGACAGACGAGGAACCUCGUAAAAGGUACUGGUGGAUGGAGUAUAAUUUGGCUGAGGAUGCUCUGGUCCAUUUGAAACUUUUUCAUUGGGCAAUUCAGUUUAAUCAGCGAGCCCGCAUAUGUGGAGAGAUACGCACCAAAACUAGGAGUUCGAGAACGAGUCUAAAUUUGCAGAAUCAAAUUUCCAAAUACAGAAUUUCACAUUGAAGUUCUGCCUGAAAGGUAGAAUUCGAAUUCUUGUGGAUAAAACAUUCGGAGUUUGUGCAUGUCCAUGAUCGAUUCCAAAUAGCGGUUGAUCAAAAGUGAAUAGUAAUCCUCUGGUCACUUGUUGAUUAGCGCCUGAUAGCGAAGAAUACCUGAGAGACGGGAACCUGGUUUACUUGGUGAAAAGUAAUCCGAAUGUGAAGGGUACCCCUAAUUCUGUAGAACUUAAAGAGGAGGGAUAGCGGU